AAUAAAAAUGUGAAAACUAAUUGCAAAAAUUUAAAGAAGAGAAAAAAAAAAUACUUACCUAAAGAUGCGGACACUCUUUUUCUUUUUUCAUAAUUUAAAAAUUACCAACCAAUUAAGUGAUUAUUCAAGUUAUUGGGCCUUUGUUGUAAUUUUUAAAGUCCUAGUCAAUGUUCAUUAUGUCCACAAUGUCUAAAGUGAGAUUCAUUUAGCCCUCAAGUCAAAAAUCUAAAAAAUAAGUUGUAAUCCAAAUAUUCAUAUUCCAAUUUAGUUCAAAGACUGAUUUAGAAGGUUUUUGGGUCAAAAUAAAGCUUUUUACUAGUUUUAUGGGUAGUACUAAAAUUUUAACAUAAAGAAGGGCUCUAAUUAAAAUUUUAUGAAAUAAAAUAAAAUAAAAUUAUGAGCUCUAAACAAAGGAAUGAUGAAGAGAGAAAUAAAAAGUAAAAAUAAUAAAUGAGAAAAGAAAAUAACAGAAUUAUAAAUACCUUUCCCCAGCAAUGGCUCUAAAAAUUUAAUACGACCCAAAAGAGUCGAUUAUUUCUAGGUGUAAAAUUAUCUCAUUAUAAUAUAACUCGGUGAGUCCGAGGUCAAUCUACAGAAAAAAAGAUUUAAAUUGUAAAUUUUCUUUAAUUUAUCUAAGAACUCAAAAAUAUAUAUGAUUUAAGUAUGCUCUAUUUAAUUUAAGCAAAACUAUGGAAAUAAAUUAAUUAAGGUUAUGGAUCCACUCUUAAUAGUAAAUAUAAUUUAACAAAUUCUUUUUAUUUAAAUCUAUUGCGCAAAAAGAUUAAUUAAAUAAAUUAACAUUAUUUUUUCAUUGAUUUCAUUAUAGAUUAAAUACUAAAUUUGCCAAAAUCUAAUUUGUCUAACAAAACUCAAAAUACCAUUUUACCAUACUUUAUACUAAUAUAUGAAGGACUUAUUGUGUCAAACCCUCUUCUUUGCCUAUAAUAAAUCAAGAUUUUGAAAAAAUGAAAUAUGGAUAAAUUAAAUAGAAAAUAAUUUAAUUUAUAUAAUUAAAAAUAGAAUUCGAUUAAAUCAUAUUUUUCUACUAAAAGUUUCACCUUACCCUAAGUAUUAUUAUUUAGUUAAACAUAACUGAAAUAAAAAUUAUUAUUAAAUUAAAUUUCAUAUAAUUAAAAUUAAAAUAGCUUAGAUUGAAAAUAAAAAUAAGUUUAACUAUGAAUUAAAUUUCAAAGAUCUAAAAUAAAUUAUAUGUAAAUUAAAUACAAAAUAAAUAGGAGAAAUUUUACAGAUUAAGCUUUAUGUUCCUCACCCCUCUUUUGCUCGUAGCCUCCAGGCUAGAGAUGGCAAAAGUCCGGGUUGGGUCCGGGUUUGGGGCUGCCCGGGACCGACCCGCAUGUCACUCAUAACUACCCGGACCCGGACUGUGCCCGGAUUUUUUCUAUGCGGGCCGGGUACUUGCCCAGCACUAUCCGGACACGGAUUUUUUUCUGGGUUUUCUCUACCCGCAUUUUCAAAGCUGAAAAUGAAACAAGAGUAUGUUUGCCACCGCCACAGCUGAUAAGUGUUAACCAAGAAAGUGUCAUAAGUUUUGGGAUCUCUUUUCCAGAAAAGCGGCCAUGGGAGAUAAUUAUUGAAUUUAUUAAUCCACAUGCGUAGCUCUGCUUAGCUUAUUAUUAUUAAAUUUAAAGCUGAAGAAAAAAAAAACUUGCCGCUUUGAUAGACCAACCAAAUGAGGAAAGGUGGCAGUGUUCAAAGCACAUUCCCUAAGCAAAAACUUGCUUGCCAUUAAAGCUCAGAUAAAAAAAAGAUAACAUACAAAAAUGCAGACAUGUUAAUCAUUACACACAUCUGCAAAGUUGUACGGGAGCCAUACUUACACACAUCUGCAAAGCUAAAAGCAUUGGAAAAAAAAUCAUUUCAAGGUAAGACUGUAAGAGGUUCGUGGAGGGAGCCAUACUUACUCAAACGGUACGGGAGCCAUACUUACACACAUCUGCAAAGCUGAAAGCACUGGAAAAAAAUCAUUUCAAGGUAAGACUGUAAGAGGUUUGUGGAGGGAGAGGCGCGGUCAACACUGCAUCGGUGCCGGUGGGUGGUGGCUGCUGAUGGAGAGACGGAGAAAGGUGCCGCCGAUUCGGAGAUUUCAGGAUGUGUGCUGCGUUGUUCACUUGCAAUCGCGAUUUAGGGUUCGGUUUUGGGGGCAAUUGGGCAAAGAAAAUUUUCUUUUCUUUUAUAUUUUCCUUUUUUUUUAACUUAAUAAAAAAACCGGGCACGGGUCCGGGUUCCGGGUUCUUGGUGCUGUGACCGGACCCGUGCCCAGAACCGGGCAUUGAAAAUCAAUGUCCGGAUCCGCUUUUUCC
rnacentral:lncRNA from 1 species